rnacentral:lncRNA from 1 species
UUUUUUUUUUUUUUUUUUUUAGUGUUUACCUGGUAUAUUACUUUCAGCAUUUUUAUGUUGUUAGGUUUUAAGUCUGUCUUUUGUAAAUAGCAUAAAACUUAUUUUCCUUUUAAAUCUAGUCUUUGAAUUACUGUCUUUUAGUAGAUAAAUUUUAAUUUGUAUUCACUUUACUGUGAUUAUCAUUUCUUUGCAUUAUUUUUUUCUCCUUUCCUGUCAUAUGUUGGAUUAAUCCAGUUUUCCUUAUUUUCCCUUUCUUUUUACUUUGUGUUUUAGAAGUUAGUAUUUCAUUCAUAGGUGUACCAUUAUUUAUUCCCUAUUUAUGGUUGAUUUUUAAUUUUUGUUACUAUACUAAUACUUCAGUUAGUAGCCUUGUACAUAUAUAAUUCCACACGUGUGCUGGUAGCUCUGUAAAAUACAUUGUUGUACUUGAUUCCAGGUCAAAGAGUAUAUGUAUUUUAACUUUUAAUAAAUAUAGAUAGUCUUUUAAAGAUAAAUUUAUCCAAUAAGCAGAUUUUAUAUGUCAUAUGUGAUUACAUAUAUUGAAGGAAAGGGGAAAUAUUUUGUUUUAGGAGUGGCUACUACUGCAGUGUUAUUUUUGAAGCAUCUCAAAAUUGGUUAUUAUGUCAGGAUUGCCUGUUGAGAAAAAAAUUCUGCAGACAAAAUUUCAUAUAUUUAUAAUAUAUGAAUUUUUAUAUUUAUAAUAUUUCAUAUAUUUAUAGUAAUGAAAUUUCUUAAAGCAAACAUGGAUACUGCCUUCCUGAUCUGCAGGAUUUAGGGAAAACCAAACUGAUGCUUGAGCGUCUGUAAGGAAUCCAUACAAGUCAACUUGAAAAACAAUUUCUCAAAUUGGGACACGCAUAUGCCAGGUAUAGGCAGUCCUCAAUAUUGGAACAAGUUGAAUUUCCAACAUCAGUGGGUACUUAGAUACAUUUUCUCAUUCAAUUUAAGCAACUGAGCAAGGUCCUGAGCUGGGUGUAAUACCAAAAAAUUGAAAAGGAUUCUCCUUUCCUACAGAAGCUCAAUCUAGAAGAGACGAUAAUGUAUACACAAGUAACAAACCAAACGUGGGGCACAAUGCGAAGCACGUUUAUGGAGGAGCUAUAAUCUGCUUUGGGAGUAUGGAGGAGAAAGAUCACUUUUGGCUGUAACCCUUUUUGGAGUUCUUUUACUAUGUGCUUGGCCUGGAUUAAGGGAGCACAUUGCUGAGUGGCCAGCAUUUGAGAAAGGACAGAAUUUUCCUAAGUGGAGACUGGGUAUGAUUGUUGAAGCCUUGCAGCACAGGUGAAAGGGUGAGAUGGGAUGGCAGUGACAUUUGUGGCUGUCUCAUUAGUCAACCCACUCCUUGCAAAGCAAGAACUGGCACCCAAUUCCUUCUCAUUGACUUUCCCUCUCUGUUGCACUAGGCAGCAGCUGAUAGAUUGGGGUUAGUAUCAGGUCAUUGGUUGGUUGCAGCUUUUGGUAGAACAUAGGGCAGCUGGUUUUGGGGUGGUGGGUCGGGGGAGCGGGGGAAGUCAGGUGUAUUUUAUUGAGGUGGUUAGGAUGGUUUUGGUGAUGAGAGAUGAUGAAACUUCAUUGGAAUUUCAUUGCUGCUUAUCUCCAGAGAGGUCAACCACAAGACAUCUCUUAUUACUUAGCCUAUGUUGCAGACUCUCAUUACACAGUGAAUAGUGUGUAAACAGAUCCAUAUGUUGCAGGAUUUCUGCUGAGCACCAUUCCUAGUAGCCACAUCAACAGUAGCAUCGUAUAUAAAACCACUACUUCCUCAGAGUUGGUUUAGGAACCACCUGAAUCUGAACUACCUGGUCAGCCUGUUAAAAAUGUAGUGUCCUCAGCUCCAUUACAGUAUUAGAAUCUCUGGGAGUGGGAGCCUGGGAGCUUGGGAACAUGCAUCUUGACAAGCUUCCCAGGUGAGAAUCCUUUGAUCUUCAGUUAUAUGUAGAACUUUUCACUGUGAUGAACUUUUAUUUACCAAAAAUCAUUUCUUUCAGCUUAGUGGUAUAGUGAAAAUGAAAUGUUCACUGUAUUUAAACUCAUUUCUGUUUUUAGACUUGGACUUAGAAAACUAAUGGUGUGAUUAAGUCAGUAAACAUUUGAAAGGGAUAUGAAUAUGCAAGAUCGUGUUUCAUCCCUCAAGGAUAUCACUUCUUCUAUUGCAGUCAUUUAUACCCCAAAGAAAUGUGAUACAAGCAAUGGAGGUUUGCCUACAAACGAAUCUAUCUGAAAAUGUCCCCGUCUACUAUUUAGAGAUUCCUUUGGGGAAAGCACUACCCAGUGGCUUUGGUUUUGACUACAUAAAGGAAGUAUGACUUAAAGAGUCCUCUGUGUUUCAAACUACUUGUCUUAGGCAGAGGGUUGAUUAAAAAAAAGAACAAGAUGAAUUUGCUACUUCCUUUUAGAGUCUGAUUUUACUCUCUCAGAUAAAGUGACAUUUCUCCCACAGGUUUCUGAUUUCAGUGUUACUAUAACAGAACCUAGAAGUUAGAGUAUCAUUCAAGUAUGUGGUCUCCUGCAGUACAAGAGGGGAAUCACCUUUUCUUUUAUUUAAUAAUGAAACCAGCUAGAUAUAAAAAUGUGACUAAGUUCAAAAGAAACGUAUGAAGUAAAAAAUUCCCCAGUGAAUAUAUUUUGACAGGGCAGAAUAUCGUGGUUUGGAAAUUUCCAAACCAAGGAAAUAUAUUAUUCUUACUGAUAGUAUUUUUUUUUAAACUUUACUGUUUUCUGAGAUGAAUUAGUUGAUGAUGAAAAAAUUUGGGUUAAAUGAUGUCACUUCAGGAAUUCAAUUCAUUUUACAGAAUUUCAGUCAAUAAAGAUUGUAAAAACAAGGACUUUUUUUCCCCCUUACAGGGUCCUGGACACAGUAAAUGCUCAAUAAAUACAUAUUAAUAAUGUAGUGUUAGUGCCACCCCAGCCAAUAUAACUCGCCCUUUUCUUAAAAGAUGUGUUUAAUUUGUAUUGAAGGUAAAUUGCUGGCAUACUAUUCUACCCAUAAAUUUUAUUCCUGUUCUUUAAAGAUAACAUAUGAGCACAGGUAUUAAAAUAAAUAUAUUUAGUAUACUAAUUAGCUUUUUCCCUCUUUUUAAAUAUACAUACGAAUUGCCUGAUUAGAGCACUCAGAAAAGUGACAGUGUUUUUGAUAAUGUGUUAUAUAUAUUAAAAAUUCUAAUAGCUUUUUUUAUUUGUUCAAACUCUAAAUGUAUAUUGAAAUAAAACAUGUCACACAGGUCCCCUUUUGUUCUCAAACACAACCUUGUCAUACAGGCAUGAUGAAUUCCGAACACUGCAGAGAAAUGAGAAGUUUGUCUAAAUAUACUAUAGAACCUUAGGUCAUAUUUAAAACACAAUGAUAGAUGAAAAACAUUAAUGAACAGAAGAAAGGAGAAAUAUCCCAGAAAAAAAAAAAA